CUUGGCACAAUGUUGUGUGUAGA
rnacentral:miRNA from 10 species